AUUGAACGCUGGCGGCAUGCUUUACACAUGCAAGUCGAACGGUAACAGGCCUUCGGGUGCUGACGAGUGGCGAACGGGUGAGUAAUGCAUCGGAACGUGCCCAAUCGUGGGGGAUAACGUAGCGAAAGUUACGCUAAUACCGCAUAAGCCCUGAGGGGGAAAGCAGGGGAUCGCAAGACCUUGCGCGAAUGGAGCGGCCGAUGUCAGAUUAGCUAGUUGGUGGGGUAAAGGCCUACCAAGGCGACGAUCUGUAGCGGGUCUGAGAGGAUGAUCCGCCACACUGGGACUGAGACACGGCCCAGACUCCUACGGGAGGCAGCAGUGGGGGAAUUUUGGUACAAUAGGGCGGCAA
rnacentral:rRNA from 1 species